rnacentral:misc_RNA from 1 species
GAAAUGCGAUAAGUAAUGUGAAUUGCAGAAUUCAGUGAAUCAUCGAAUCUUUGAACGCACAUUGCGCCCGCCAGCACUCUGGCGGGCAUCCCUGUUCGAGCGUCAUUUCAACCCUCAGAACCCCUUGCGGGAUCUGGCGUUGGGGAUUGGCAUCCAGCCAGCCCCGAAAUCUAGUGGCGGUCCCUCCGCGACCUCCCCUGUGCAGUAGCGAUACCUCGCAGCGGGACAGCGGUCUGACCACGCCGUAAAACCCCCAACUUCUCAAGGUUGACCUCGAAUCAGGUAGGAAUACCCGCUGAACUUAAGC